rnacentral:rRNA from 1 species
CGCCUACGGGUGGCAGCAGUAGGGAAUUUUGGACAAUGGGCGAAAGCCUGAUCCAGCAACGCCGCGUGCGCGAUGAAGGCCUUCGGGUUGUAAAGCGCUUUUAGAGGAGAUGAGAAAGGACAGUAUCCUCUGAAUAAGCCUCGGCGAACUACGUGCCAGCAGCCGCGGUAAAACGUAGGAGGCUAGCGUUAUCCGGAUUUAUUGGGCGUAAAGCGUGUGCAGGCGGUUUAGCAAGUUGGAUGUGAAAGCUCCUGGCUUAACUGGGAGAGGUCGUUCAAAACUGCUAGACUAGAGAAUGGGAGAGGGAGGUGGAAUUCCGGGUGUAGUGGUGAAAUGCGUAGAUAUCCGGAGGAACACCAGUGGCGAAAGCGGCCUCCUAGACCAUUUCUGACGCUAAGACACGAAAGCUAGGGUAGCAAACGGGAUUAGAUACCCCAGUAGUC